UGUGACUGACACCCCACUUGUCCUUGUGU
rnacentral:piRNA from 1 species